AUUGAACGCUGGCGGCAGGCCUAACACAUGCAAGUCGAGCGAGCGGCGGACGGAUGAGUAAUGUAUGGGGAUCUGCCCGAUAGAGGGGGAUAACUACUGGAAACGGUAGCUAAUACCGCAUACUAUCGGAUGCGCCCAUAUGGGAUUAGCUAGUAGGUGGGGUAAAGGCUCACCUAGGCGACGAUCGCUAGCUGGUCUGAGAGGAUGACCAGCCACACUGGGACUGAGACACGGUCCAGACUCCUACGGGAGGCAGCAGUGGGGAAUAUUGCACAAUGGGCGCAAGCCUGAUGCAGCCAUGCCGCGUGUAUGAAGAAGGCCUUAGGGUUGUAAAGUACUUUCAGCGGGGAGGCGUUACCCGCAGAAGAAGCACCGGCUAACUCCGUGCCAGCAGCCGCGGUAAUUC
rnacentral:rRNA from 1 species